rnacentral:rRNA from 1 species
GAUGAACGCUGGCGGCGUGCUUAACACAUGCAAGUCGAACGAUGAAGCCCAGCUUGCUGGGUGGAUUAGUGGCGAACGGGUGAGUAACACGUGAGUAACCUGCCCUUGACUCUGGGAUAAGCCUGGGAAACUGGGUCUAAUACCGGAUAGGGACGUCCACCGCAUGGUGGGUGUUGGAAAGAUUUAUCGGUCAUGGAUGGACUCGCGGCCUAUCAGCUUGUUGGUGAGGUAAUGGCUCACCAAGGCGACGACGGGUAGCCGGCCUGAGAGGGUGACCGGCCACACUGAGACUGAGACACGGCCCAGACUCCUACGGGAGGCAGCAGUGGGGAAUAUUGCACAAUGGGCGAAAGCCUGAUGCAGCGACGCCGCGUGAGGGAUGACGGCCUUCGGGUUGUAAACCUCUUUCAGUAGGGAAGAAGCGAAAGUGACGGUACCUGCAGAAGAAGCACCGGCUAACUACGUGCCAGCAGCCGCGGUAAUACGUAGGGUGCGAGCGUUAUCCGGAAUUAUUGGGCGUAAAGAGCUCGUAGGCGGUUUGUCGCGUCUGUCGUGAAAGUCCGGGGCUUAACCCCGGAUCUGCGGUGGGUACGGGCAGACUAGAGUGCAGUAGGGGAGACUGGAAUUCCUGGUGUAGCGGUGGAAUGCGCAGAUAUCAGGAGGAACACCGAUGGCGAAGGCAGGUCUCUGGGCUGUAACUGACGCUGAGGAGCGAAAGCAUGGGGAGCGAACAGGAUUAGAUACCCUGGUAGUCCAUGCCGUAAACGUUGGGCACUAGGUGUGGGGACCAUUCCACGGUUUCCGCGCCGCAGCUAACGCAUUAAGUGCCCCGCCUGGGGAGUACGGCCGCAAGGCUAAAACUCAAAGGAAUUGACGGGGGCCCGCACAAGCGGCGGAGCAUGCGGAUUAAUUCGAUGCAACGCGAAGAACCUUACCAAGGCUUGACAUGUUCUCGAUCGCCGUAGAGAUACGGUUUCCCCUUUGGGGCGGGAUCACAGGUGGUGCAUGGUUGUCGUCAGCUCGUGUCGUGAGAUGUUGGGUUAAGUCCCGCAACGAGUGCAACCCUCGUUCCAUGUUGCCAGCACGUAAUGGUGGGGACUCAUGGGAGACUGCCGGGGUCAACUCGGAGGAAGGUGGGGACGACGUCAAAUCAUCAUGCCCCUUAUGUCUUGGGCUUCACGCAUGCUACAAUGGCCGGUACAAUGGGUUGCGAUACUGUGAGGUGGAGCUAAUCCCAAAAAGCCGGUCUCAGUUCGGAUUGGGGUCUGCAACUCGACCCCAUGAAGUCGGAGUCGCUAGUAAUCGCAGAUCAGCAACGCUGCGGUGAAUACGUUCCCGGGCCU